rnacentral:lncRNA from 1 species
AGCCACAAGCCGAGCAGCCUAGCAGCAUGUGCUAUUUCUAGUUGAGCAUCAUUUCAAAUUGAGCACCGCCUCACAUCGAACAUCAGUUUAAGACAACAUCUAGUUACUUCGGCCCACACAUGGACUGAAUUUCAAAUCUCCAGCCAAAAGACUCUCUUAACUGAAAACUUGGGGGACUACUGUUUAUACCAUAUUUAGGGCCUCGUAUUUAGAUCUCGUACAAAUACUCGAGGGACUUAAAUAUAAUUAUGUGAUAAAGGAAGGGGUAAAUAUAUAAUAAGUGAGGAGUCCUUAUUCUAUAAAAUGACCCCUCACCCUCACAAUUAGAGGAGGCCACUUCUGGAGCCUUCUUACCCCUCUCACAUCUCCUCUCAUUACAGAGGUUCUCUCCCUCACCUCUCAGAUAAAUACAAUACAAUCAGUGUGGACGUAGCCCAAACCUUGAGGUGAACCACGAUACAUCUUGUGUUAUUUACAUUUCUUGCAGAUUCACAGUCGGAUUUACAUUGUUCCAAGACCUCCGGUUUUGUACAUUAAUAGUAGUCAUUCAAUAAAUUUAUCUUUAUUUAACUUCAUCACAAAUAGCUAUGCCAUAUACAUUUUGAAUUUUACAUAUAGUGGAUGGUUCACAUUUAGGAUUGUCAAUAUGAGCUACAACUGCAUGAAAGGAUUUAUAAGGUUUUGGUGGAAUAAGUGAAGAUUCAUCUGGGUAAUUGAUGACUAGUAACUUGAAAUGAUCUUCAAAUUAUACACAUCAAAGAUAUUAUUAACUAUAGACAGUACUUUUCUUAGUAUAUUGGCAAUGUGUUUGUUGGCUAGGAAGUUGUGUCAUAUGUGAUAUAGCUAUUAAUCUUCCCUGUUAGGUAUUUUGUUACAGGUUCUUUGCUCUCUAGUAUGCUGCAGGUGCAACAUGAUUGUGAUUGUGCAAGUGCUAUUGCUAGAUGGUUGUGAUUAUGCAGGGGCAAGAUGCAAGAUUUGUUGUGAUGUUACGUGGCAGCCAAUUUUGACGAAUGACAGUAGGAUAAUUUUAUUAUGUGAUAUGCUUUUGUAUAAGUACUCUAGAUGUACGUUCCAAACCUAUCAAAUAAAGUAUUAUUUUUUACAACUUUUGUGUAUUGUAUUUUGAUGUGCAUAUGUAGUAGCUAAGCAUAAAAGCAUUUAUUUUAUUUUUUUAUAAAUUAAUUGUCUUCAUGAUGAAAUUAAUUUUGUUGGGAGAUAGAAGACUUUGCUGACAAAAUAUCCAUGGCUACAAACACAUUUUGUUGGUUGAAAAGUAUUAUUUGUUGGCUUAAAUAGCCUCUAUCGAUGAAAAUAUUUGUCGGGGAAGAUGUAAAUGCCGACAAAAAGGAGUUUGUUGGGAAAAGUUGAACCUUAGUCGACGAAAUACCAAAAUGCGUCGGCAAAGUGCUUGCACGACAAAAUGGCCGACGAAAUUUUUUGUCGGAAAAGACUCUUUGCCGACAAAUUUUAACUUUUGACGACAAACUAAUUUUGUCGGUAAAGCCAAAAUUUCUAGUAGUGAGCUGAUAUGAAUACAAAGGUCGGCCAUGUUGGUGAAUAAACACUAGAUGUGUCUAAUGGCUAAAGCAAAUACAUGAGGACAUGACACUUAGGAAGGGAUAGUGCUGGACAUAAUUUGUAGGCAGGAGGUGUCUAAAUGCAUGCAAAUAAGAUGAGGGAACAAUUGACACGCACUUAAAUGGAUUAUUACAUACUAAAUUACUAAUAGUGAGACCAAAUUAAGCUAUAUAGGUGUCAUGCAAAGGCUAAGUGUGACAAGGAAUGAGCAAUAGUUAUGGCGGAUGGAUAACCGCGGUUAUUUACGCAUAACCGUUUAUGCUUAUACCCGCAUAACCGUUUACCCGUUUACCCGUUACGGUUAUACACAUACCCAUAACCGUUUAUAAACGGUUAACCAUAUUCAUAACCACAUACCCAUUUAACCGUAACCGUUUACCCAUUUAUCCAUUGAACCAUUUUUUUACCCAUUUGCCCCUUCUUCUUUUUUACCGUUUACCAAUUUAUUAGUUGGUAAAGUUAAUUUGAAGGGAUUGUUAAGGGACCAUAGUGUAUAUAUAUAUUAAACCUUAUUCAUAGACUCUUAAAAUUCUAUUCGCUAGCUGAAUUCAAUUCAACCUAAAUGGCUCCAUAGUUUCCCAAAAGUGUCUAAUAACUGGGCUCUGAUACCAUUUUGUCACACCCGGGACUUGAGGUUGGUAGAAAAAUAAAUCAUGCACCCGGUGCGUGAGUAAAAAUAAAAAUAAAUACGAAAACUAAGCUUCUCUUAUAAAAAAAUCAAAUAUUUUAUAGGGUGUACACAAAAAUAAAGAAAACUCUUAAAUCUCUCGUCUAACACAAACUCAGCCAUCUAUCACCUGUCUUGCCAAAAAACUCAUCUGUAAAAUAAAAGGUGAGGGGUGAGCAACAAUCAACGUUGCUCAGUGAGUAGAAUAUGUAAUAUGUUAGUCAAUCGAUGUUGUUUUACCCACACUAUAAAAUAUGAUAUCAAAUCAUUAUACACAUGGUGCCAUAUCACAUUGUCCCUUCACGUGUUCAUUAUAGAGCCUUCUUAAACCAAGCAAAGUAAGUGGCCUAAAUGUGGGGCUAGGCCAUGUUGCCAACAUUUUGCGUGGUCACUUUUCUCCAAGUCGCGUCUGUUGGAGCAUCCUCAGUGAGGGCUUUACAUGAGGCUAGAAAAGUGGUGGAUAUAGCCAAUUUUAGAGCUUUGAGGUAUCUUUGGGGCUCUAUAAAUGAAUCCCCCCCCCCCCAAUGAGAGGCCAUUUACUUUCGGGCUCUAUACGGGGCUAUUUAUAUUUAAUUAUGUAGUAAUUUGAUUAUGUGACAAUUUUUUUUUUUUGUAUUAACCUUUCUUAAGUGGAUUUUUGGACGUGUUAUCUCAAAAAGAAUUUGGGAACAUUUCAACCUUGAAAAAGCCAAAUUCUGGCAAAGUUAGAUUUCAUCACUUGUGAACCGUUAGAUUAGUUUUUCAUAUUUCAAUCUUAUUCGUUAGUUUGUUUCUCUAAAAUCAGACAAGAUAAGAUUUCAUCUAAUGACUAAAUUGUAAUGCCUUUCAAUUUAGGUAUGUUGUUUGUUUAUGUUUUCGGUUUAGGUCUCUAAACUUCCAAUGUCAUUUUAAUAUGCAAUGCGUUUUUAUUUGGAAAUUAAGAAAAGUAAGCCCUUUUAGACGUAGAACAUCUUAUAUCAUUUUAUAUCUCAAGCAUUAAACAUACAAACAAAAUGGAGGAGGACCUUUGGAACAAAAGAGAGUAUGAGUAUAUUUGCAAAGGGGGGCGUGGAAAAAUUUGGCUCAUAUGGGUAGCUACUUUUCUUAUGGGACCCAUUGCUUUUUGGUGCUGGAUGUAGCCUAAUUUUUGCUACUUGGGGAAUGAAGUUGCUAGCCCGGACCUAGCUCCAUUUUCCAGCUCACUUCAUGGAGGAUAAAACCCCCAUGAGGAUGCUCUGAGGCUUGCGCCGUCACUUAUAUGCAACGCCCAGUUGCCACUUAGUAUUAUAGUCUAGUGAUAUUUUUCUUUACUUAUAAAUGAGAAUUCUUAGGUUCAAUCCUCGCCAAAUAAGAAUUUGAACCACAUCAUUACUAACUCAUUGUGAGGCUUAACUUACCUUUUUCUCUUAGACCAUCUCCAACCCUUGAGGAUAAAGCUUAAAAAUUUAAGCCAGAAAAUUCUAAAGUCAAAACCCAGAAACU